CUCAGUCGUCUCUUGUCAAGUUAAAAGUUCAGUGAAAUGUGGAUUUUAAUGUUUGUUCCGUGUUCUCUUGCCUUCAUAUCGAGUACAGUCCCAUAAUGUUUUCGGCAAUUCUUUAUUGAUUGUCAAGUAAGCCAAAAGCCGAACCCUCUGUCAAUCUGGGACAGUGGACUAAAUGACACAAACUCACACGAAGCAAUGGACACUAGAGCGGCUACAUGGAUUUGCUCCGAUAGCAAUUUGUUGUCGUGCUGCAAGAGAGGGGAGUCGAACGACUUGACUGGGAGCUGGGAGCUGGGCGCUGGGAGCUGGAGGCCGAGUUGAAAUCGUUGCUGGCCAAUACACUUGAGUGAUUGAACAUCAAGAGAAGUUCAGGACCAGUAAACAGCAGCGAGUAAUCAGCGCCUGCACUGAACUAUAUGAACCAGAGGACUGGAGCACUAGAGGACUAGAUGGCCAGAGGAGUGGAGCUCGCACACUUUGCUAGUGUUGCCCUGAGAACUCUGGGAACCCCUUUUUCUGUUCUGGCAGAGGCGUGGGCGAGGAAGGGGCAGCUGAAGGGGAAGGGGCAGUGGCCGGCUGUUGGCGAGCUUGAAACUGAUGCCCGGCACGUGGACAUGACGAGAAGCUCAUCAUCAUGAUGA